rnacentral:lncRNA from 1 species
UACCUUUAUUAAGUUUAAUAAGCUUCAUUUCACCAAAGAAAAGAAUCAGUUUAGAGAUGAACUCAUUGCACACCAAUUUAAUUGACUCUGAGUCACCUUCAGAGUAAAAUUUCAACGAAGGAAACAGAAGGUGCUACAUGAAUUAUUAGACCAGCUCUUGUGUCUGUUGUUCAAGCGCCUUUCCCUUCCCCUACCCAGAAGAUGAUAGGGGUGUGUGUGUGUGUGUGUGGGUCUGUGUGUGUGUGUGUGUGUGUGUGUGUGUGUGCUAUUAGAGUGUUCAGCUAUGAUAUGAGUAUGACAGGUGAAGAAGUUGAAAUUUUCUGUCCCCAGCAUUUCCAUUUGUGAGCACUUUUUGAAUCAGAGCCAGAGAAGGCAUUUAUAGAAUUUGUUGGGGGUAAAAUCACCCCAGAAAAAAGAGUAGCAGGUCAGUAGUAGGAUGGGAUUUUAACAUUUUAGACAAAGACAACAUUUUCAGAAGUCUUAAACUAAAGAUAUGUUUAAGAUAUAGCCAAUACUCCAUUAAGAGGGAAUUUGGGGACUUCAAUGGAAAAUCAACUUACUCCUGACAGUGGCUGAGUUGGCAUGACUUUUCUAACAGUACUGGUUUUCCUCACUGCACAAAAAUUUCUAAAACGUAAAUGAACUUAUAUUCAUCAGAUUUUCUUUCACUAGAUUUGGCUGUGUAUAAAGUCCCUGUAAAGGAGCUCUC